CCUCGGUGAUGAUACGAUGACGAGUCGGACGCGGACUUUGUUGGCCGUGAGGCGGCCGCUCGGGAUGGCGUUCUGCUUUCCCGCUCGGCUUGCCCGGCCGGCAAAGUUGCUUUCCUGGUGAAGACGCUGAGGCAUUUGUCUGAGAGGG